GAUGAACGCUGGCGGCGUGCCUAAUACAUGCAAGUCGAGCGAACAGAUGAGGAGCUUGCUCCUCUGACGUUAGCGGCGGACGGGUGAGUAACACGUGGAUAACCUACCUAUAAGACUGGGAUAACUUCGGGAAACCGGAGCUAAUACCGGAUAAUAUAUUGAACCGCAUGGUUCAAUAGUGAAAGACGGUUUUGCUGUCACUUAUAGAUGGAUCCGCGCCGCAUUAGCUAGUUGGUAAGGUAACGGCUUACCAAGGCAACGAUGCGUAGCCGACCUGAGAGGGUGAUCGGCCAAACUGGAACUGAGACACGGUCCAGACUCCUACGGGAGGCAGCAGUAGGGAAUCUUCCGCAAUGGGCGAAAGCUUGACGGAGCAACGCCGCGUGAGUGAUGAAGGUCUUCGGAUCGUAAAACUCUGUUAUUAGGGAAGAACAAAUGUGUAAGUAACUAUGCACGUCUUGACGGUACCUAAUCAGAAAGCCACGGCUAACUACGUG
rnacentral:rRNA from 1 species